UGGGGCAUAGCCAAGUGGAAAGGCAAUGGGUUUUGGUCCCAUGAUACGAUAGUUCGAAUCUGUCUGCCCCAG
rnacentral:tRNA from 1 species